rnacentral:rRNA from 1 species
UACGUAGGGUGCGAGCGUUAAUCGGAAUUACUGGGCGUAAAGCGUGCGCAGGCGGUUUUGUAAGCCAGAUGUGAAAUCCCCGGGCUUAACCUGGGAAUGGCAUUCGAGACUGCAUUGCUAGAGUAUGGGAGAGGGAAGUGGAAUUUCCGGUGUAGCGGUGAAAUGCGUAGAUAUCGGAAGGAACAUCAGUGGCGAAAGCGACUUCCUGGACCAAUACUGACGCUCAUGUGCGAAAGCGUGGGGAGCAAACAGG